GAGGGUCUAACUCAGUGGUAGAGCACAUGCCUAGUGUGCACGAGGUCCUGGGUUCCAUCCCCAGCACCUCCA
rnacentral:tRNA from 1 species